rnacentral:rRNA from 1 species
UUGCAAUAUCAAUAAGCGGAGGAAAAGAAACUAACAAGGAUCUCCCCCUUAGUAACCGGCGAGUGAAGAGGGAAGAGCUCAAAUUUGAAAGCUGGUACCUUCGGUAUCCGCGUUGUAACCUCGAGACACGUUUUCCGUGCGGCGCUAUGGACAAGUUCCUUGGAACAGGACAUCGUAGAGGGUGAAAAUCCCGUACUUGCCAUGGAUGUACCGUGCUUUGCGAUACGUGCUCUAAGAGUCGAGUUGUUUGGGAUUGCAGCUCAAAAUGGGUGGUAGACUCCAUCUAAAGCUAAAUAUCGGGGAGAGACCGAUAGCGAACAAGUACCGUGAGGGAAAGAUGAAAAGCACUUUGGAAAGAGAGUUAAAAGUACGUGAAAUUGUCGAAAGGGAAGCGCUUGAAGUCAGCCAUGCCGCUCAGGACUCAGCCUGGCUUUUGCUUGGUGUAUUUCCUGGGUAGCAAGUCAGCAUUGGUUUGGAUCGUCGGAGAAGCAUAGUCGGAAUGUGGCGCCCUCGGGCGUGUUAUAGCCUUCUAUUGGAUACGACGAUCUGGACCAAGGAACGCAGCGCGCCUUAUGGCGGGUCUUCGGACACCUUCGCGCUUAGGAUGCUGGCGUAAUGGCUUUAAGCGGCCGUCUUUUACACGGCCCUCCCUUUAAAGCCAUUACGCCAGCAU